GCUGGGCAUUGUGGCACAUGCCUGUAAUCCCAGGGGCUCAGGAGGCUGAGGCAGGAGGAUUGUAGGUUUGAGGCCAGCCUCAGCAAUUUAAUAAAGGCUGUAAACAACCUAGUUAAGACCCUGUCUCAA
rnacentral:sRNA from 1 species